rnacentral:rRNA from 1 species
GACGAACGCUGGCGGCGUGCCUAAUACAUGCAAGUAGAACGCACAGUUUAUACCGUAGCUUGCUACACAAUAGACUGUGAGUUGCGAACGGGUGAGUAACGCGUAGGUAACCUGCCUGGUAGCGGGGGAUAACUAUUGGAAACGAUAGCUAAUACCGCAUAAUAUUAAUUAUUGCAUGAUAAUUGAUUGAAAGAUGCAACUGCAUCACUACCAGAUGGACCUGCGUUGUAUUAGCUAGUAGGUGAGGUAACGGCUCACCUAGGCGACGAUACAUAGCCGACCUGAGAGGGUGGUCGGCCGCACUGAGACUGAGACACGGCCCAGACUCCUGCGGGAGGCAGCAGUAGGGAAUCGUCGGCAAUGGACGAAAGUCUGACCGAGCAACGCCGCGUGAGUGAAGAAGGUUUUCGGAUCGUAAAGCUCUGUUGUAAGAGAAGAACGGGUGUGAGAGUGGAAAGUUCACACUGUGACGGUAUCUGACCAGAAAGGAACGGCUAACUACGUG